AACGAACGCUGGCGGCGUGCCUAACACAUGCAAGUCGAACGAGAAAGUCCGCAAGGAUGAGUAGAGUGGCGAACGGGUGAGUAAUGAAUAGGAACAUACCUAUGGGUGGGGGAUAACCAAGGGAAACUUUGGCUAAUACCGCAUAAGAUCGCAAGAUGUAAGGGGGCGUAGGGCAACCGAGCUUUCGCGGAUAGAGUGCCCUAUUUCCCAUUAGCUAGUUGGUAGGGUAACGGCCUACCAAGGCUACGAUGGGUAGCUGGUCUGAGAGGACGAUCAGCCACACUGGAACUGCGACACGGUCCAGACUCCUACGGGAGGCAGCAGUGGGGAAUCUUGCACAAUGGGCGAAAGCCUGAUGCAGCAACGCCGCGUGAGGGAAGAAGGCCCUUGGGUUGUAAAGCUCUUUCGGUUGGGAAGAAGGGAGUAUGGGCUAAUACCUCAUAUUUUUGACGGUACCAGCAUAAGAAGCACCGGCUAAUUCCGUGCCAGCCGCCGCAGUAA
rnacentral:rRNA from 1 species